GACGAACGCUGGCGGCGUGCCUAAUACAUGCAAGUAGAACGCUGAAGAGAGGAGCUUGCUCUUCUUGGAUGAGUUGCGAACGGGUGAGUAACGCGUAGGUAACCUGCCUUGUAGCGGGGGAUAACUAUUGGAAACGAUAGCUAAUACCGCAUAACAAUGGAUGACACAUGUCAUUUAUUUGAAAGGGGCAAUUGCUCCACUACAAGAUGGACCUGCGUUGUAUUAGCUAGUAGGUGAGGUAAUGGCUCACCUAGGCGACGAUACAUAGCCGACCUGAGAGGGUGAUCGGCCACACUGGGACUGAGACACGGCCCAGACUCAUACGGGAGGCAGCAGUAGGGAAUCUUCGGCAAUGGGGGCAACACUGACCGAGCAACGCCGCGUGAGUGAAGAAGGUUUUCGGAUCGUAAAGCUAUGUUGUAAGUCAAGAACGGGUGUGAGAGUGGAAAGUUCACACUGUGACGGUAGCUUACCAGAAAGGGACGGCUAACUACGUG
rnacentral:rRNA from 1 species